rnacentral:misc_RNA from 1 species
GAUGAAGAACGUAGCGAAAUGCGAUACGUAAUGUGAAUUGCAAAUUCAGUGAAUCAUCGAGUCUUUGAACGCACAUUGCGCCCCCUGGUAUUCCGGGGGGCAUGCCUGUCCGAGCGUCAUUGCUGCCCUCAAGCACGGCUUGUGUGUUGGGCCCCGUCCUCCGAUCCCGGGGGACGGGCCCGAAAGGCAGCGGCGGCACCGCGUCCGGUCCUCGAGCGUAUGGGGCUUUGUCACCCGCUCUGUAGGCCCGGCCGGCGCUUGCCGAUCAACCCAAAUUUUUAUCCAGGUUGACCUCGGAUCAGGUAGGGAUACCCGCUGAACUUAAGCAUAUCAAUAGCGGAGGA